rnacentral:rRNA from 1 species
UACGAAGGGGGCUAGCGUUGCUCGGAAUCACUGGGCGUAAAGGGUGCGUAGGCGGGUCUUUAAGUCAGGGGUGAAAUCCUGGAGCUCAACUCCAGAACUGCCUUUGAUACUGAGGAUCUUGAGUUCGGGAGAGGUGAGUGGAACUGCGAGUGUAGAGGUGAAAUUCGUAGAUAUUCGCAAGAACACCAGUGGCGAAGGCGGCUUACUGGUCCGGUUCUGACGCUGAGACGCGAAAGCGUGGGGAGCGAACGGG